rnacentral:rRNA from 1 species
UACGGGAGGCAGCAGUGGGGAAUAUUGCACAAUGGGCGAAAGCCUGAUGCAGCUAUGCCGCGUGUAUGAAGAAGGCCUUAGGGUUGUAAAGUACUUUCAUCGGGGAGGAAAAACAAAACUAAUAAUUUUAUUUCUUGACGUUACCCGAAAAAGAAGCACCGGCUAACUCCGUGCCAGCAGCCGCGGUAAUACGGAGGGUGCUAGCGUUAAUCAGAAUUACUGGGCGUAAAGAGCACGUAGGUGGUUUUUUUAAGUCAGAUGUGAAUCCCUGGGCUUAACCUAGGAACUGCAUUUUGAAACUGAAAUACUAGAGUAUCGUAGAGGGAGGUAGAAUUCUAGGUGUAGCGGUGAAAUGCGUAGAUAUCUGGAGGAAUACCUGUGGCGAAAGCGGCCUCCUAAACGAAUACUGACACUGAGGUGCGAAAGCGUGGGGAGCAAACAGGGAUUAGAUACC